rnacentral:lncRNA from 1 species
CCCCAAUAUACUCUACACAAUGCCUGUAUUCACAAAUCAUAAGCACUAAACCAUGAAGUUAAAUUCAUAAAACAUUAGUAGUGUACCAUCACCCUGCUAUAUAAUAUGCAUUAAUCUAUUUUCUACUCUCUGAUGAUAUCAGUCAUAUGCAUGCUUGAAUUAGGUACAUUUAUUUAUCAUAAACUGAAAUCUCUGGAUUUUGGAACACUGUUGCAAUCUGCAGGUCCCCAUCCAAUCAACUGCUUCUCGUUGUCGAAUACCAUCACUUUGUCUAGCAUGGAUAUGUCUGCAUAAAAAAUAAUACCAACACUUACAUAACAUAAUGCAGAGUUCAUGAAUCUUUUUUUUUUUUUUUUUUUUUUUAUAAACUGCUGAACAAUGUAAUGAUGAUAUCCAUGACUAUCUAUGUAGCACCGACACUUCAAACUGAAGGUGUGUCUGGUGUGCAAGACAUGUCUGGCACAAGACUGACACAAGUGAAUAUAUUCAUUACUUUCAUGUCGUGUUUGUAUUUGUUUCGAUGCUUCAUAGAUUAUUAUCCAAAAUACGACAAUGUAGCUAAAUUCUCACCUCCAAUUAGGUUCAGUUCACCCAAUCCUACUUCAGGGCCGU